GGGGGGGCGAUACCUGGUAAUUGCAGCUGCUUAUGCUUCACUUCACACUGGCUGUGACAGAUACUGACUUGUAGUCUGCAAUAACAGUGAUUUGACGCGACAAACGGCUUGCCUGAAAGUGAUUUUAUCAGCCGUUGAUUUGGAGAAGUGUACGACUCCCGAGGACCGAGAAGUGCUCUCACAGUCAGACAGGAACAAACCGGCGCUGUCUGGGAUUACGGAUGCUCCAGCCCCUGCCAUGACAGCAAGCGAUUGAAGAGAAUAUGGAACAGCAGACAGAUAAAUCAUAUGACACGGCAGCCAUUUUAAAUGACAAACAUUCUGACCCCCAAGCGUCCUUUUGGUCAGUUUAAUACUCACCCGUUUCCUUCGGCUCAUCGCUCACAAACAAACGGAUGUCAUACCACAGUACGGAUCGGCCUCCAGACCCUGGGCUUCCUAACUGCAUGACUUAAACCUGGAACCGAAUAUCACUCCCAGCGUGAGUCUGGCCCACAGGAGGAGGAAAUAAGACGUGACACCAAUAUAACCGACAAAACAGAUGCACACUCCAUAAUGCACCAGCAGGACACGGAAACCGCCGUUGCUUUUGUUUCCCAAGGCGUUAAGAAAGGCUUUAAAUAACUCAUUUGGACAUAUGGACGACAUCACUGCUUUACUUGGGAUGCUUUAUGCAUAUUCCACAUUGCAUUACAAAGGUGCAACACAAUGGGAAAUGAAUAAAGAAAGCUUCCUCUUGUCACUUACUUUCUCUCUCUUGUUGUUGUUUCUUUAUGUUAGCCAGGCCUGUGUCUCUGCCCACCUGUCUUCAUGGGCACAGAUUGGGGCAGCAGACGUCCAUGCGGGUAUUUAGAUUUGUGCACAAAGCCCGGUGAACAGGAAGUUGGAGGGACUUGCAUCAGGGCCCAUCUGCUCUCUACAGCUGGCUGCCUGACAGCUGGAAAUUGAUUCUACUGAGAUUGGUACCUGUGUCUCA